AAAAAUGAAUUUCCUUGACCCACAAUUAUGGUCACAGGGGUCAAAUAUGUAAAUAAACCUCAGAGUUUCUGAUACAUCAAGAGGCGUGGUGGCAGGGUAUAUGGUCAGUAGCUUGCUUGAUUGGAAUACGACAAAAGUGGAUACAAAUUAACCUUGACAUCUCCUCAUUGGCAUAGGGCUCAAAUACGAUCAAACACUUAAACGGCUAGUUCUUGAAGAAACAAAACCCAAAGUUAUGUAUGAUCAAUAUCAUGCCUGCAUAGAGUUCUAAAAUGUUUUUCGAAAGAUCAAAUCUGCCAAAACACUCAAAUGAAUUCUUCUAAGAAACAUGGAAGCCUAGAGCCAGGAUACAUAGCAUCUAGUGUGUAGUACUACCAAGUUGGAAAGGGAAGUUACCGGUUUCAAAUAAGUAAGGCAUUCAGCUCUUUGUGAAGAUGGGACAAGUCAGGAGUCAUAAUAAGUGGCUAAUUAUUUUAUUGCUUCAAAGCAGGAAUGAAUCACCUUGACCUUUGGACAAGGUCACAUGGGUCAAAUUUGUUUAAACACUCAAACACAUUCUUUUGAAAAUGAAUGAAAAGGCCUAAAGUCAUGAUAUUGGGCUAUAGCUUGCUGGCAUGGCGUGAGACAUUCCAGUUACUUGUGUUACUCAUACAGUUGUCGGUGUUUUGGCGGCCUUGAGAUACGAAGUCUGAUAUUGUUGCGAUAAUGUCGGUAUCAAAAGACCAGUGGGCUGCGACACCAGUAGUUGGGGUUCUCCAGGCUGCUAUCAUAACGUUGUCUACUACCACAUGACCAGCAUGUCGUCUUUCCAGGGCCCGCAAGCAUGGAUUUUGUGCUCAAGCCUAAUGUCUUGUUCCAGCUAUGAAUUAAUAAAAAAUUGAAAGAGACUUAAAACCGGAUACUGUUUCAAGGUUUACAUUUGACCUUUUGAUCGGUUGACAUGAUUUAAGCGAGUAACAAGUAAGUUGGUCUGAGCACAAAAUCCAUGAGCAGGAGAACGGUUUCAUGAAUAUGGGCCCUGCUUUGUAAUCUCCCGUCUCCGUCUCUGGUUAUAUUUUGGCCGAACAUUUUAUUUCACAACGCUUUUCUUUUGUAUACGUCAAUAAAAGUUACUUUCCUGUUAAAAUGUUUUCCUCUAUACUCACAUAAUGACAAUUAUUGAUUGCGGGCCUUUUUAUGGAGUUAAAACUUUGUCAACUUUCCGAUUUUGAAUUUUCCGUUUCUUGACAAUACAAUCCUAGCUUCCCCUACUUGUUCGGUACCAAGAGCCUGCUACGCAUAUCAUGACUUCGUGAUAUAUGCCGGAUGCUGACGGACAAAGACAGGGCUUCCACUUUGUUAUCACUUCCCGAGUUCUCGAAGUGAAGACGUGACAUUACUGAUGUCGUCGUUGAAGCAGAACCUUCCGGAACACCUGGUCUUAUUCACUUUGUAUUUUUUUCAAGAGUAUCCAUGAACAUUUUUCAUUUGUUCAUAUUUUGCCAAAGUUUUAUUGAUUUUGAGGUCGACUUACGGUUUUGCUAACAAUUCAGUUCUCUCGAUUUUGUUUCGUUUUUGUUUUAAAUAUAGGUGUCCCUAGAAACGAAUCGUUGUUUUGUUUUUGAUUUAAAUAUAGGUGUCCCUAGAAACGAAUCGUUGAGGCGGUACAUAGCCUUAUUUUGUAUAUAACUUUUUGCGGUAGGAUAAUACCAGAGAUAGAACACAGCAUUAACGUUGGCCUGUAUAUGUAUAAUGCCCGGGAUUGUAUGUGUCGUUGGCAUGUUGACAGAAUACUCGGCUCACAACAGCAGACAGUAAUUGUGGUCAGCGUCGCUGUUGUUUUGGUCUGGCCAUGAUUAAUUAUCUGGCACGGCUUUGUUUCUUUAGAUAAUUGUAUAUUCUGUCGUUAAUGCUGACCACUGUGAUGAGAAAUUGCCUUCUGUAGCAGUUGUUACUGGUCACUCUCAAUGGACAGACUGUUUCUGUUUGGAUUCUUCAAAAACGGACCCAAAACUCGUAGUGUUAUUACCAACUCAUAUCAGUUAUAACUGAGUGAUCACAGAAAAUGCAUCGGAGACCGACAGUGGAUAACAUUCAUUAAGCACUGAUCUGCUUUUAGUUUGCAUUCAUAAGCAAUAUGAAUGCGAACUGGACAAAGACAAAUUCAAGAAACGUGCUUGCUCUUCAUGUUGAAUUUAUUUUUCCAACUGACAUUAAUGCAUAUGAAAUUGCUUAUGAAUGCCAACUGAUAGCAUUUCAAUAUUUGUAUUUACCAUUUUCGAAAUCUGUUUAAUCUCAUAGAAAAUUCCAUUUCACGUAUUAUUGUUCAGCAUUAAGAUCAAAUAAUGUAUUUAUGGUAUGCCUUUUUUAAUGAAUAGAAUAGCCAUCUCUCCAAGAAGAGUCAGCGGUGCUCAUGGCAUUCAUAGCAUACAUAAAUGCCAUAAGAAUGUACGUAUCUGAAAUGUAUACGUUGUAUAUAUGAAUGGCAUGAAAAGUUACAUUAUACAAACACAAAAAAUCAGUCAGGAUAGUGUAAAUAUAUUUAGAAUUAUAAAGGUAUGAUGCCUCCUUAAGUUGUUGUUCCCCCAAUGUUUUUCUUUAUUAGAUCGACCAGAUCAUAACAGCUUCCAUUUGUACCUUGAAGCCAAGUUGUUUUGAUUUUUAUGAAGAGGUAGAUGAAACUAACUUACGGAAUUCCUGACGAUACAAAGGCUCCCGGACAGAAGGCAUCCAUAGUGUUAUUAUUGUCCACAGUACCUCCCACAUAAUUUCCAGCUUUUUGUUUUCAUUAUGCAUGCUGUGUUUACAUCAUUGAUCAUAAUAGAUCGGAAAGUCUGGUAUGAACUUGCUCAGAUCCGCGGAAUGCUGAUCCAAUACUCUACAGUGACCUGAUCCUAUACUCUACAGUGACCUGAUCCUAUACUCUACAGUGACUUGAUCCUACACUCUACAGUGGUUUGAUCCUAUACUCUUUGUUUGUUGAUGGUCACCGGGGCUUAAUAUCCGAGGUUCUGAUUUUUGGGUUUAAUAUUUUCAGUUCGAUAUGAUUGUAUGGGCUAUCUUUAUUCUCCUGUUGUACAGUUAAAUAAUAAAUGUAAACUUCAUCUGAUUUACAACAACUGUGGAACAUUUUUUUUAUCUUAAACAUCAUGGUUGGCCUAGAUGGGAAAAAGCAGAUGGGAGGAAACCAGAGGACCCGGAGAUAAACCCACGUAGUCGGGCAGGUGACCAAAUAUCUUGUCACGUCCAAUUGGAGAAUCGAAACCUGGCCGUCUUAAAGGCGAGUGCGCUAUCUACUGGAGCACCCGAUAUAGUAUUGGUUAAACAUCACUCAACACCAAUCGGGAACCGUCGGCACUUUCCGUAAACGAGAAAAUAGUAUUUUCUCGUUUACGGAAAGUACCGACGGUUCCUGAUUGCAUCAGGAUAGGCCUAUCUCACGUGAUAAUUCCUAAAGCCUGAUUUAUCUUACAAUAACCCUAUUUAACAGACACGAUCUGAUUCGACCAAAUGACUUCAGUCCUCAUUUAGGUCAAUAGCGACAGGUUUCACUAUAAAAUCACAUGUCUGUUGUCUUUCUGCUAUUUUAUCAAACAUCCGGGAAGAUGUCAAUUUGUGUGUCACGGGGCACUGUUUCAAUCCGAUCUAAGGUUACAAUUUGUCUUAGCGAGAAUUGAUCAACACAUGACGAUCUUUGUUUCAAAUAAACAAGACACUUGCACGUUAAAGAGGCUUAACGAUUUAUUUUCAAAAUUGAUUUCAGUGAAAAGCAACAGUUUGGCAAUGAUAUGGAAUACACGCUUUAUACUAUCGUGCUGAUUUUUCUCAUGAGAACAAAGGGUAAAUGUGAAUGGUUAUAAGUUUGUAAAGGAAUGGUCGAACCUGCAAAGCCGGUCGUUUUAACAGUUUAUGUACAGGUCUUCGCUAGAGCAAGUUCGACCAUCUAUGAAAAAAAUAUGCAAAUGUGCCUUUUUCUGUCAUAUGUUUCUUAAAUUUCGGGGAAGAGUCAUGGGUCUUCCCGCCAAAUACCAAAUCAAUGUGAAGUUAUAUUCAUCUGUGUUCAUUGCGAAUUCAAUGGAUACAGCAUAACGAGACAAAUUCGACAUACAUGUAUUGUUUGUCUAUGAUAUUCCACAAAAUAUUUAAUUGGUUUGUUAUUGUCUUGACAG